rnacentral:misc_RNA from 1 species
GUAGGUGAACCUGCGGAGGGAUCAUUACCGAGCGAGGGCCCCCGGCCCGACCUCCAACCCUUUGUUAUCAGAAAAUUUUGUUUCCUCGGGGGCGACCCGGCCUUUAAGUGUCGGGGGCUCCCGGCGGACCAUUACCCCAACUCUGCGUCCAUGCGUCGGAUUCUAAAGAUAAAACGAAUCAAAACUUUCAACAACGGAUCUCUUGGUUCUGGCAUCGAUGAAGAACGCAGCAUCUGACUGACUCGGAAGU